rnacentral:lncRNA from 1 species
GUCUGUUGUUAUUUAUGUAUUAUUGUCAUUUUAUUUAUUUUCUUUUGUUACAUCUUUUGAUAUCAGACUCGGACUUCUCUUGAACUGAAUUUUAAUGUGCGUAUUGUUAUUCUUUUACUUUUCUACAUUGGCUAGAGGUAUAGGGGGAGGGUUGAGAUCUCAUAAACAUGUUUAACCCCGCCGCAAUUUUGCGCCUGUCCCAAGUCAGGAGCCUCUGGCCUUUGUUAGUCUUGUAUGAUUUUAAAUUUUAGUUUCUUGUGU